UAUAAGAAACUAAACUAUUACUGACCAGGAGCUUUAUAAGAAACUAAACUAUUACUGACCAGGAGCUUUAUAAGAAACUAAACUAUUACUGACCAGGAGCUUUAUAAGAAACUAAACUAUUACUGACCAGGAGCUCUAUAAUAAACUAAACUAUUACUGACCAGGAGCUCUAUAAGAAACUAAAGUAUUACUGACCAGGAGCUCUAUAAGAAACUAAACUAUUACUGACCAGGAGCUUUAUAAGAAACUAAACUAUUACUGACCAGGAGCUCUAUAAGAAACUAAACUAUUACUGACCAGGAGCUUUAUAAGAAACUAAACUAUUACUGACCAGGAGCUUUAUAAGAAACUAAACUAUUACUGACCAGGAGCUUUAUAAGAAACUAAACUAUUACUGACCAGGAGCUUUAUAAGAAACUAAACUAUUACUGACCAGGAGCUUUAUAAGGAACUUCAGGCUCUCAAAUUUGAAAAAGCAUGCGGACCUGAUGCCAUUAGAUGCUCAAAUUCACUAGUGCAAAAUUUCAUUUCAUUGGCUUUAUUAAAACUGUUUAAUUUGAUCCUGGUUAUUUCCCUGACAUUUGGAAUCAAGGACUCAAGAACCCCAAUCCUUAAAAACGGAGACAAAUUUGACCCAAACAAUUCCAGAGGCGUUUGUGUGAACAGUAACCUGGGGAAGGUUUUCUGUAGUAUUAUAAAUGUAAGAGUUCUAAGCACAAUGUCUUGAGUAAAAGCCAAAUUGGAUUUAUAGCAAAACAUCACACGGCUGAUCAUAUUUACACCCUAAUAGAUGCGUGUCCACCAUAAUAAACAUGUCCACCAUAAUAAACAUGUCCACCAUAAUAAACAUGUCCACCAAAAUAAACAUGUCCACCAAAAUAAACAUGUCCACCAAAAUAAACAUGUCCACCAAAAUAAACAUGUCCACCAUAAUAAACAUGUCCACCAUAAUAAACAUGUCCACCAUAAUAAACAUGUCCACCAUAAUAAACAUGUCCACCAUAAUAAACAUGUCCACCAAAAUAAACAUGUCCACCAAAAUAAACAUGUCCACCGAAAUAAACAUGUCCUUCUGUAGCACAGUUGGUAGAGCAUGGCGCUUGUAACGCCAGGGUAGUGGGUUCGAUUCCCGGGACCACCCAUACGUAGAAUGUAUGCACACAUGACUGUAAGUCGCUUUGGAUAAAAGCGUCUGCUAAAUGGCAUAUAUAUUUUUUUUUUAUGUCCACCAAAAUAAACAUGUCCACCAAAAUAAUACCAAAAUAUAUGCUUGCUUUAUCGAUUUCCAAAAAGCAUUUGAUUCUAUUUGGCAUACAGGACUGUUCUCCAAAGUUAUUGAAAGUGGUGUAGGGGGUAAAACACAUGACAUGAUUAAAUCAAUGUUUACUGGCAAUACGUGCAGCAGAACCAGGGGGCGGGGCCUUCGCCAGGGUUGCAAUCUGAGCCCUGCACUCUUCAAUAUUUACAUCAAGGAAUUGGCCACUAUUCUAGACAAAUCCUUUAGCCCCUGGUGUUAGUCUCCACAAUUCAGAAGUUAAAUGCCUAAUCUUCUCAGAUGACCUAUGCCUUCUGUCACCCACAGCACAUGGCCUACAGCAGGGCCUGGACCUGCUAGAGCAGUACUGCCAGACCUGGGCCCUGGCAGUAAACCCCCACAGCACAUGGCCUACAGCAGAGCCUGGACCUGCUAGAGCAGUACUGCCAGACCUGGGCCCUGGCAGUAAACCCCACAAAGACUAAUAUAAUGAUUUUACAGAGAAGUUCCAGAUCUCAGGGAAUUAGACCAAAGUUCUCAAUUGGUAGAAAAUAUAUAGAGUACUGCACACACUACAAUGACUUAGGUUUAAAAAAAUAAGCUCAACUGGACACCAUAAUGAGGCAGUGAAAGAACUGAGAAAGCACGCAGGGCAUUAAAAAACUAAUUCAAAUUGAAAUACCUAUUCAAAUUAGGCUAAAACUAAUUGAAUGUUUCAUUGAACCAAUUGCACUUUAUGGCAGUGAGGUGUGGGGUCCACUUUAUGGCAGUGAGGUGUGGGGUCCACUUUAUGGCAGUGAGGUGUGGGGUCCACUUUAUGGCAGUGAGGUGUGGGGUCCACUUUAUGGCAGUGAGGUGUGGGGUCCACUUUAUGGCAACGAGGUGUGGGGUCCACUUUAUGGCAGUGAGGUGUGGGGUCCACUUUAUGGCAGUGAGGUGUGGGGUCCACUUUAUGUCAGCGAGGUGUGAGGUCCACUUUAUGUCAGCGAGGUGUGGGGUCCACUUUAUGGCAGUGAGGUGUGGGGUCCACUUGCAAAACAAGAUUUCACCAAAUGGGACAAACACCCCAUUGAAACCCUGAAUGCAGAGUUCUGUAAGUAUCUCCUACAAGUCCGGAGGAAAACUACAAACAAUGGCUAAAAUCCACUAAUAAUAAAAGGCCAACCCAACCCACCCCACACCAGCCUAGGUAGGAAGGGAAGGACGAGAGUUAGACAGGCCAACCCAACCCACACCAGCCUAGGUAGGAAGGGAAGGAAGGAAGGACGAGAGUUAGACAGGCCAACCCAACCCACACCAGCCUAGGUAGGAAGGGAAGGAAGGAAGAGAGUUAGACAGGCCAACCCAACCCACACCAGCCUAGGUAGGAAGGGAAGGAAGGAAGGACGAGAGUUAGACAGGCCAACCCAACCCACACCAGCCUAGGUAGGAAGGGAAGGAAGGAAGAGAGUUAGACAGGCCAACCCAACCCACACCAGCCUAGGUAGGAAGGGAAGGAAGGAAGAGAGAUAGACAGGCCAACCCAACCCACACCAGCCUAGGUAGGAAGGGAAGGAAGGAAGAGAGUUAGACAGGCCAACCCAACCCACACCAGCCUAGGUAGGAAGGGAAGGAAGAGAGUUAGACAG